GUUUUCCUUUCACACGCACCGUCGGCAACAACUUCUGCACCAAAAGCGUCUGUAGGGUUGACCGUUCUGUCAUACACAUCAUUGGCCACAUUACUGCAAGCACUUUCUGAACCUAUAGCAGUCAUGAUGCUUACAUUGCCCGAGUUUUGAUCAACCAAUGAGAUUCUGCUCUCAGAAAUUUCUUUUUUACAAUUGCCUGUUAUAUCCUCAUGGAUUCUGGUAUUUGAGCCCUCCAAACUAGAAACUUCCCUCAGGAAAAAAGU
rnacentral:misc_RNA from 1 species